CCUACGGGCGGCUGCAGUCGAGAAUCAUUCACAAUGGGGGAAACCCUGAUGGUGCGACGCCGCGUGGGGGAAUGAAGUUCUUCGGAUUGUAAACCCCUGUCAUGUGGGAGCAAAUUAAAAAGAUAGUACCACAAGAGGAAGAGACGGCUAACUCUGUGCCAGCAGCCGCGGUAAUACAGAGGUCUCAAGCGUUGUUCGGAAUCACUGGGCGUAAAGCGUGCGUAGGCGGUUUCGUAAGGCGUGUGUGAAAGGCGCGGGCUCAACCCGCGGACGGCACAUGAUACUGCGAGACUAGAGUAAUGGAGGGGGAACCGGAAUUCUCGGUGUAGCAGUGAAAUGCGUAGAUAUCGGGAGGAACACUCGUGGCGAAGGCGGGUUGCUGGACAUUAACUGACGCUGAGGCACGAAGGCCAGGGGAGCGAAAGGGAUUAGAUACCCUGGUAGUC
rnacentral:rRNA from 1 species